rnacentral:rRNA from 1 species
AAUACAAGGCAUACGGCUCAUUAACGCGUACCCAACCUAACCUAUGGACGGAAAUAACCUCGGGAAACUGAAAAUAAUGCCCAAUAAAACAUUAUGCCGGGAAUGGUUUAUGCUCCAAAUGAUUUAUCGCCGAAGGAUGGGACUGCGGCCUAUCAUUUUGUUGGUGAGGUAAUGGCCCACCAAAACAAUUACAGGUACGGGCUCUGAAAGAAGUACCCCGAAGAUGGGUACUGAAACACGGACCCAGGCCCUAUGGGGCGCAGCAGGCAAAAAAACUUUGCAAUGUGCGAAAGCACGACAAGGUUAAUCCGAGUGUUUUCUGCUAAAGGAACCUUUUGUCGGUCCUAGAAACACCAAUAAAUAAGGGGUGGGCAAGUUCUGGUGUCAGCCGCCGCGGUAAAACCACCACCUCAGGUGGUCAGGAUGAUUAUUGGGCCUAAAGCAUCCGUAGCUGGCUCUGUUAGUUUUCAGUUAAAUCUGUAAGCUCAACGUACAGGCU